AAUAGAUACCCGGGUAGUCCACGCCGUAAACGAUGUCGACUUGGAGGUUGUGCCCUUGAGGCGUGGCUUCCGGAGCUAACGCGUUAAGUCGACCGCCUGGGGAGUACGGCCGCAAGGUUAAAACUCAAAUGAAUUGACGGGGGCCCGCACAAGCGGUGGAGCAUGUGGUUUAAUUCGAUGCAACGCGAAGAACCUUACCUACUCUUGACAUCCAGAGAACUUAGCAGAGAUGCUUUGGUGCCUUCGGGAACUCUGAGACAGGUGCUGCAUGGCUGUCGUCAGCUCGUGUUGUGAAAUGUUGGGUUAAGUCCCGCAACGAGCGCAACCCUUAUCCUUUGUUGCCAGCGGUUAGGCCGGGAACUCAAAGGAGACUGCCAGUGAUAAACUGGAGGAAGGUGGGGAUGACGUCAAGUCAUCAUGGCCCUUAGAGUAGGGCUACACACGUGCUACAAUGGCAUAUCAAAAGNGAAGCGACCUCGCGAGAGCAAGCGGACCUCAUAAAAGUAUGUCGUAGUCCGGAUUGGAGUCUGA
rnacentral:rRNA from 1 species